AUUGAACGCUGGCGGCAGGCCUAACACAUGCAAGUCGAACGAGUGGCGGACGGGUGAGUAAUGUCUGGGAAACUGCCCGAUGGAGGGGGAUAACUACUGGAAACGGUAGCUAAUACCGCAUACCAUCGGAUGUGCCCAGAUGGGAUUAGCUUGUAGGUGAGGUAACGGCUCACCUAGGCGACGAUCCCUAGCUGGGCGGAGAGGAUGACCAGCCAACUUGGAACGUAGACACGGUCCAGACUCCGAUGGGAGGCAGCAGUGGGGAAUAUUGGACAAUGGGCGAAAGCCGGAUGCAGCCAUGCGGGGUGUAGGAAGAAGGCUGUCGGGUUGUAAAGUACUUUCAGCAGGGAGGCGUUACCCACAGAGAAAGCACCGGCUAACUCCGGGCCAGCAGCCGCGGUAAUUC
rnacentral:rRNA from 1 species